UUAUGAUCUACAGCACGAGGAGUUUGCAGACGGAGAUGCUCUUGCAAUACAGAAAUCAUAAUAACAUGGCUCCUCGAAUAAGCCUCCAGGCAAGUCCCGAAUUCUGAUCCUCUGAAGAUGCCAGCCACAGAUGCAGGCGAAACGUCUGGAGAAAAUGCCACUAGAACAACGGCCAUGCAGCCCGGGAACCACACAGCACCCCACCAGGCGAAACAUUGAAGUAACAGCUUGCAACAGGACACAGGUGUGUUAUACCAAGAUGACUCAAGCAAUUGAAAGCAACAACACACAUACAUAAAGGUUGUUUUAUUUGCAGACCUCAGUCAGCACAGAACUAAAAGAAGGAUUUUUAUGUGCAGAGUGAAAUAGUGCAAUAAAUUUGGGGAAGGGCUGUGGAGAAUAAUAUAACACAGGAGCUGUAGAGAAAG